rnacentral:rRNA from 1 species
GAGUUUGAUCGUGGCUCAGAUUGAACGCUGGCGGCAUGCCUUACACAUGCAAGUCGAACGGCAGCACGGGAGCUUGCUCCUGGUGGGUGAGUGGCGAACGGGUGAGUAAUGCAUCGGAACGUAUCCUGGAGUGGGGGAUAACGUAGCGAAAGUUACGCUAAUACCGCAUAUUCUGUGAGCAGGAAAGCGGGGGACCUUCGGGCCUCGCGCUCUUGGAGCGGCCGAUGUCGGAUUAGCUAGUUGGUGAGGUAAAGGCUCACCAAGGCGACGAUCCGUAGCAGGUCUGAGAGGAUGAUCUGCCACACUGGAACUGAGACACGGUCCAGACUCCUACGGGAGGCAGCAGUGGGGAAUUUUGGACAAUGGGGGCAACCCUGAUCCAGCCAUGCCGCGUGAGUGAAGAAGG